CGGCUCUGCCGCUGCGCGCUCCUCCCCUCCGCAGGCCGGGCCGGGCUGAGCCUCCCCACAGCGCCCGCGGCCGGCCCACAGCUUUCCGGGGCGGGGCUGGGCGGAGCGGUGUGAGCCGCUGGAGCCGCGCGGGACGCCGCCUGUCCCUCCUUUCUUGUGCCCCCGGUGGUGUGCUGGUAGGUCCCGUCGGAAUCAGCAGCACACAGGGGCGCGUCGGCCGGGGCGCUCCUUGCUGAAGCCGCCCUGAGACAGGAAAGAGGGUGCUGGCCACCGCCGCUCCUUCUCGGAGUUGGAAGAAAGAGCUCCGGAUUCCCGGGACAGACGAGCCGUCACCGCCUCCUUCUGUCUCUGUUGCAUCCGACUCGCGACGGAGAAAGGCCGAGGAUGGACCAGGAGGGAGCAGAGGCUGCGCGCCGGGAGGCAGCGCUGGAGCGCAGCCGUUACUUGGAGCGCCGGGCCGUGGCCCAGGAGCAGCUGGCGCAAAUAAAGGAGCACAAGCAUCAGGCAGAUCUGGCCAAGCUACAAGACAGAAGAGAAGGGGAACAAAUACAGAGACAGUACCAAUUGUACCAACUGGAAAUUCAGAGUGGAAAAGAAAGGAAACGGGAGGAAGAAGUUGAAUGUCAGAAGCAGUAUCACGAACAUGUAGCUGAACAGAAAAGAAUUAAAGCUGAAGAUAAACAAAACGAAGAUGAAGAUGAUGAUCGGAUUAAGGCUUAUAUUAAAGGAAAAGAGACAAUGGCUGAUUUGACAAGAGAAAAAAAUGUAGAGGCUAAUAGGCUAAUACAGGAGCGUAAGGACAAGGCUGUUGAACAAUUAACUGCACAGAUGAAUGAGGCAUGGAAGAUUGAAGACCAGCGACUUGCUAGAGGAGCUGCUGAGGUAGAAUGUGAAUACCAGAGGCAAAACAAAGAGAAAGAACAGGAGAAAAAAGCUGCCAUUGAAUCUAUUGCUGAACACAGAGCAGCUGUGAUGAAGAUGAAAGCAGAAGAGAAGAGAGAGGAAAAAGCAGAGGGUGAGAAGGUUCGUAAUCAGUGGAUGACAGCAGAUUGUAUUGCCUUGGAAAUGGAUAAAGCCAAGAAACAAAGACAACGUGAUGCAAAUGUGGAAAUACAGACAAUUCGGAUCCAGCAAAUGGCUGAAAAAGAGGCAAGAAAACAGCAAGAGAAGCAAGCAGAUUUGGACUAUGAUGCUCAGAGAGAAGCUGCUUUUCAUAGGGAUCGAGCAUUUCAUCGAUAAAGACAAAGUUGGAGCCUUGAGAAGAAGCACUGACUACAACAGAAGUGGUGCUGAAGUCUGCAGAGCUUAAUAAUGCUCCAAAUACAGCCCUAAGUGCAUAUUUGCACAUGCUAACUACCAUGCAGCUGGAAUAUCUCUGACACCUACAGAAGUCUCUGCUAAGGAGUAAGAAGUCAGCCACUGUCUCCUUAAACGUUAUGUGCCUGCUCAAGCUAUCAGCUGAAGUUAACUGUGGAUCAAGUUACAAGGCAUGCUGUUUGCCAGAGCCUGCCUAUACUUCCAGCUCAGGAAACAAGUUGCCAUACAAACUACAGCCAUAGCUUGCAAAUGUCUGUAACUACUCUGCAUUUAUCAGGGAACAAAACAGUAGAUCCACUUCCUCAGAAGUGAAAAACUAAUGACCAAAGGUAAAGCAUUAGUUCACCUGUACUGUAUUCCAGUGUUGCUGUUCAAAGUGUAUGUUUUGAUUUAAAAUUCUUAGUGAGCAAAUAAUAAAAAAUCUGCCUGUAACAA